rnacentral:rRNA from 1 species
AGGACGAACGCUGGCGGCGUGCUUAACACAUGCAAGUCGAACGGAAAGGUCUCUUCGGAGAUACUCGAGUGGCGAACGGGUGAGUAACACGUGGGCAAUCUGCCCUGCACUUCGGGAUAAGCCUGGGAAACUGGGUCUAAUACCGAAUAGGACCUCGAGGCGCAUGCCUUGUGGUGGAAAGCUUUAUGCGGUGUGGGAUGGGCCCGCGGCCUAUCAGCUUGUUGGUGGGGUGACGGCCUACCAAGGCGACGACGGGUAGCCGGCCUGAGAGGGUGUCCGGCCACACUGGGACUGAGAUACGGCCCAGACUCCUACGGGAGGCAGCAGUGGGGAAUAUUGCACAAUGGGCGCAAGCCUGAUGCAGCGACGCCGCGUGGGGGAUGACGGCCUUCGGGUUGUAAACCUCUUUCACCAUCGACGAAGGUUCGGGUUUUCUCGGAUUGACGGUAGGUGGAGAAGAAGCACCGGCCAACUACGUGCCAGCAGCCGCGGUAAUACGUAGGGUGCGAGCGUUGUCCGGAAUUACUGGGCGUAAAGAGCUCGUAGGUGGUUUGUCGCGUUGUUCGUGAAAUCUCACGGCUUAACUGUGAGCGUGCGGGCGAUACGGGCAGACUAGAGUACUGCAGGGGAGACUGGAAUUCCUGGUGUAGCGGUGGAAUGCGCAGAUAUCAGGAGGAACACCGGUGGCGAAGGCGGGUCUCUGGGCAGUAACUGACGCUGAGGAGCGAAAGCGUGGGGAGCGAACAGGAUUAGAUACCCUGGUAGUCCACGCCGUAAACGGUGGGUACUAGGUGUGGGUUUCCUUCCUUGGGAUCCGUGCCGUAGCUAACGCAUUAAGUACCCCGCCUGGGGAGUACGGCCGCAAGGCUAAA